rnacentral:tmRNA from 1 species
AGGAUAGUAGUUUUUUAAAGAAAUUAAAGAAAUUGACUGUUAGGUCUAUUGAAUCAUCGUAAGACUUCCGUUCGAGUCGGAAAUGCUCCACUAAAUUAAAACAAGGAAGUUAUUAGGUUUCUUAGCCGUUAGGUUGCAAGUCCUAUAAAAAAGAAACCCUUAUCAAUGGGGCAUACAGGUUUUGAUUGCGAUAGUGAAGGUAGAAUAGGUCAAUAAGCAGAUAACUGGCAAUACAAGUUAUAUUAUGAACUAUAGCCGUAUUGCGGCGUAAGUUCAAACGGCUAAGCUAAUGUCGUAGAAAGCUGGAGCAUAUCAGGCUAGAUCAGACGUAAGGGCUGUGAAGGGUUCGAUUCCCUUCAAUG